UUACCAGGAGGCAGUUGUGUUUUAUUCCAAGCUAGUUUAUAUCAGUUGUGUUAGAGCAAUUAUUAUAAUACAAAAUUUAAUUAAAUAGUUCAUAAACUUUGCAACAGUAGUCUAAAAGAAAUAGAUGUGUUCCUAUGAAAACAAAGUUGUAUGCUUUGAAAAGAUUCAAGAAAGGGUGACCAAAACUUGAAAAUUGUGGAGAGUGAUGGAUUAUGAGUGUGCCCAGAACCAACAAACACACCAAGUCCCUCCCUUCAAAUGAAUCGCUUGAAUGCAAAAUCAACUGUAAUUCAAGAAACCAAAAACAUUAAGAUGGGUGAGCUUUGCCAGACUGGACCAACUCGUUCUACCUGUUAUGGACAAAGAAAGGUCUGAAGAGGUCCCAAGGUACGGGGAGUUGUACCUGUUAUAAGGAGCAUUCUGUGUCUCCCCCUGCUGGUUGGUUGGAAUAACCAAAUGGAACAACCUCCAGAAGUUCUGACUGGUCAAGAUCAUCACGGCUUUGUACGGUCUGGCUGCCUGGCCUCUAUGAACUUUUAAUAAGAAAGGCUUUUCAAGAGUUCACAUCAGGAUAUUGUAUCCCAUCUCCAGCUUUCCAACUCUGUUUAAUUAGCAUUCUGCUUUUCUUAACAAUUUCAACUUCACAU